rnacentral:rRNA from 1 species
AGCUAAGGUCCCAAAGUCAUGGUUAAGUGGGAAACGAUGUGGGAAGGCCCAGACAGCCAGGAUGUUGGCUUAGAAGCAGCCAUCAUUUAAAGAAAGCGUAAUAGCUCACUGGUCGAGUCGGCCUGCGCGGAAGAUGUAACGGGGCUAAACCAUGCACCGAAGCUGCGGCAGCGACGCUUAUGCGUUGUUGGGUAGGGGAGCGUUCUGUAAGCCUGCGAAGGUGUGCUGUGAGGCAUGCUGGAGGUAUCAGAAGUGCGAAUGCUGACAUAAGUAACGAUAAAGCGGGUGAAAAGCCCGCUCGCCGGAAGACCAAGGGUUCCUGUCCAACGUUAAUCGGGGCAGGGUGAGUCGACCCCUAAGGCGAGGCCGAAAGGCGUAGUCGAUGGGAAACAGGUUAAUAUUCCUGUACUUGGUGUUACUGCGAAGGGGGGACGGAGAAGGCUAUGUUGGCCGGGCGACGGUUGUCCCGGUUUAAGCGUGUAGGCUGGUUUUCCAGGCAAAUCCGGAAAAUCAAGGCUGAGGCGUGAUGACGAGGCACUACGGUGCUGAAGCAACAAAUGCCAUGCUUCCAGGAAAAGCCUCUAAGCAUCAGGUAACAUCAAAUCGUACCCCAAACCGACACAGGUGGUCAGGUAGAGAAUACCAAGGCGCUUGAGAGAACUCGGGUGAAGGAACUAGGCAAAAUGGUGCCGUAACUUCGGGAGAAGGCACGCUGAUAUGUAGGUGAAGCGACUUGCUCGUGGAGCUGAAAUCAGUCGAAGAUACCAGCUGGCUGCAACUGUUUAUUAAAAACACAGCACUGUGCAAACACGAAAGUGGACGUAUACGGUGUGACGCCUGCCCGGUGCCGGAAGGUUAAUUGAUGGGGUCAGCGCAAGCGAAGCUCUUGAUCGAAGCCCCGGUAAACGGCGGCCGUAACUAUAACGGUCCUAAGGUAGCGAAAUUCCUUGUCGGGUAAGUUCCGACCUGCACGAAUGGCGUAAUGAUGGCCAGGCUGUCUCCACCCGAGACUCAGUGAAAUUGAACUCGCUGUGAAGAUGCAGUGUACCCGCGGCAAGACGGAAAGACCCCGUGAACCUUUACUAUAGCUUGACACUGAACAUUGAGCCUUGAUGUGUAGGAUAGGUGGGAGGCUUUGAAGUGUGGACGCCAGUCUGCAUGGAGCCGACCUUGAAAUACCACCCUUUAAUGUUUGAUGUUCUAACGUUGACCCGUAAUCCGGGUUGCGGACAGUGUCUGGUGGGUAGUUUGACUGGGGCGGUCUCCUCCUAAAGAGUAACGGAGGAGCACGAAGGUUGGCUAAUCCUGGUCGGACAUCAGGAGGUUAGUGCAAUGGCAUAAGCCAGCUUGACUGCGAGCGUGACGGCGCGAGCAGGUGCGAAAGCAGGUCAUAGUGAUCCGGUGGUUCUGAAUGGAAGGGCCAUCGCUCAACGGAUAAAAGGUACUCCGGGGAUAACAGGCUGAUACCGCCCAAGAGUUCAUAUCGACGGCGGUGUUUGGCACCUCGAUGUCGGCUCAUCACAUCCUGGGGCUGAAGUAGGUCCCAAGGGUAUGGCUGUUCGCCAUUUAAAGUGGUACGCGAGCUGGGUUUAGAACGUCGUGAGACAGUUCGGUCCCUAUCUGCCGUGGGCGCUGGAGAACUGAGGGGGGCUGCUCCUAGUACGAGAGGACCGGAGUGGACGCAUCACUGGUGUUCGGGUUGUCAUGCCAAUGGCACUGCCCGGUAGCUAAAUGCGGAAGAGAUAAGUGCUGAAAGCAUCUAAGCACGAAACUUGCCCCGAGAUGAGUUCUCCCUGACUCCUUGAGAGUCCUGAAGGAACGUUGAAGACGACGACGUUGAU